rnacentral:lncRNA from 1 species
GUGCGGUGCUCGUCGGCGGCAAAGGAGAGGUGUUGGAGCUUGAAGACGCCAGGCCGCACCUUCGCGUGCCCUCAGUUUAACUGAAUAUGGCCCAUGGACAUCUGGCCACGCGUGCCCGUGGUAAUGGCAGCAGCCAUGCCGGCAGCCGCUGCAGCAAGCAGUCCUCCAAUGGUGGUCACGAUUAAAGGAAGGGCUCGGGAGAUUCAGCGCGAGCUGGUGAAGGCGAAGGUGCAUCCGAUUUGGGCGGAGGUGAACCGGACAGGGAAGCUCACGGCAGCCCUGGUGCGGUGGCCAUGGUGGACGGCCGUGGCAAAAGAGGAAGAGCAGGGGCGAGGUUAUAGUCUCCUUCGGAUAAGGACGUCGCGAGAUAGGGCAGGGAUAAGCAAGCAGGCGAGCAGCUACGUGGAGAGGCAUGCAAGGCGCCAGCACGGCCACGGCGGCGUCCGGGAGGUGGAGCUGGCCAGCGGCCAUUGGCCGAGCUACUGUAGCUCGUCCUAAUCUUCCAGAUUCAAAUUCAAAUUACUUUCAAAAUUUGAAUACAACUCAAAUUCCUAUCAAAAUAACAUUUGUUAAGAAUUUUGAACUCUACAAAUCAUAUUUAAUAACCCAAAGCAAAUUUUGAAUAGAGAGGGACGAAUUUAAGCCAAACAAAUUGAAAUUCAAAAAUUCAAUUUGGGGGCAAAACUGGUUUGAAUUGGGGCAGAAUAGAAAUUCUAAAAUUACUUUUGAUUUUUCUCAACAACUUGAAAAACUCCCAAAAUAAACGUUGUUCAUUUUGAGGAGCCCUACAACUUUCAUUUUGAUCACUUUUCAAGAUUCCAAAUAGGUUUUGAAUUAGGGAUUAAAAUUGGAAAAGGGGACAAUUUCUAGAAAUCUGUAUUUUCAAAAUUACUUUCAAUUUUGUAUUGAAACUUCAAAAACUCAAAACACCAAAGUUGUACACCUUGACAAGAUCUACAACUUGGCUUUUGAACUCAUCCCCAAAUUUUGCUUAGUUUUUAAGUUACACAAAAGGGGGUAAAAACUGGGGUUGAAAUUAGGGGUUUUUCUUAGCUGCCUCCCUACAACCCUCCUUAACAAGGGAUUAAACAACCAUCACAAGCAUCACUUCACAAGAUAAACACACUUUAAUUCCCUAAGCACAAUCAACCAAAAUAAACUUAUUUUAAGUUGAUGCAUCAUGAUGUGCUCAACAAAUAUGCUCUGCAAUGCUUAUGAUGACAUGAUCCAGUUUUAGUGUUCGUAACAUCAGGGAUGUUACAGCCCUUCCCCCUUAAAGAAAUCUCGUCCUGAGAUUUCUAGGGUACUAAAACCUGUGGGGUUAAGUAAUGGAAAAGGAAAUGUGUCAAGCACAUUAACUUCUGAGAAGUUCAUAAAACAAUUACAAUUGGUCCGAGAAUUACAACUAAGAUCAACAGAAUGUUGUAAUCAAUAAGAAAUUUUAGAGAAUUCAUAAGAAGAUAUGAAUCACCAAAUGAACUUCCAAGGAGAAUGAAAGCACACUAACAGUAGACUAUAGUGGAGCAUGACCAGAGAUCCCGAUGUUUAACGAGCACCCUGUAGUAUUUCCUUAUGGCUGCAGUCCACAGGAGACUACAAGGUUCGACGCUAUAACGUGAUCACGGAUCAUGGUACUUACUAUAGAGUAUGGUUACAAUAGCUUUUAAUCAACCUAUGUUGGUAUUUAAAGUCAAGGGAAGAACAUGUGUCAGAGUAGAAGUGAUCAAGGUGUGACACAUGCAUGAAUUGAGAAGUCAAGGAGUUAUCUCAGGUCUUCAUAUUUAUGUUGGUGAUCUAUCAAUAUGCAUCCAAAAGUAUCCCCAAGGAUGGGAACUUUGUGGAGCAAGGAUCGUCAAAAAGGAUAUUUAAUUUGGAUGAGACCUGACACAUGACGAGAUUUAUUGAAUAGAACAACUAUAAGGAGAAUAGUUGUCCUGGAUUAAAAAGGGAAUCUAUAACAUCCUUGCAUCAUUAUUUUAGAGUGAAUGAUAUGAUGUAUGCUCGCCCUGUACGUCUUCACAACGUUAGCUAGGAGGUAACUACUUAUAUAGGGCAUACUUUAUACAUUAUCUUUAUCGCUCUGGAUGGAAUGUUGCAAGACUUUUGACAAAGCAUUGUUGGAGUAGUUUGAUUCUUCACUUGGCUUGUUGAAGAAGAAUUGAAGUCCCUUUCAAUGCCUUCUAUUUGAGUCAGCAGACAGUCUUCACAGAACUUGGAUAGCAAGAAUAAGAAAAGUUAAGUAGGAUUUACAAGUCGUUAUCCUCAAAAACUUUUAAUUUCGAAAUUCCUUUUGAAGUUUUCACAAGUAAAGUUGCAGAAGAUCCAUGUAUGAGCUCCGAUACCACUCUGUGGCAGAACCACCCUAAUUAUAUGGCCCACAUGCACUUGACAUUGUCCUUAAGACCUCUGACUACUGCACAUGAGAGUCAUAUAACUUGGAUAGUCUGUCGGGUGCCCUCGGAGGACCCCGAAUCAUCCACAUUUUAACUCAUACAGGAUCAACAUGGAGUUACCACAACAUUACAACAUUUGUUACAAAAAUAACUUACAUCGGAGUGCGAAAGAUUUAUAACUUAAUUUACAACAUAUGAUGAAGUACAAACUUAACUAAAUUUCCAAAAGGUGUGUAGAGUAGUGGAAGCAUCCUAGGUGAACCUUCUAAAGUAGAAGAGGUGGAUAAAUCAUGUUGCGCCCACCGACAUGACCUCCAUUAGCAGCAUAAGUCAGCACCUGCAAUAGGGGUUAUAAAACCCUGAGUACGGGAGUACUCAACAAGACUUACCCGGCGAAAAAAGGGAGAACUUAGGAAUGCAGGCUUAGGGUAGACAAGGAAUGGCUGAGCAAGGAGCCAAAUUGUUUUGCCAAAAAGCUUACUAAUAGUGCAUCCUUACUUUCAAGUUUUACCCACGAAUUCCUCUCCUCAAGAGGUCGAGGAGUUCGAGGACAGUCUAUCUAGUUGCUUCUCACAGACAAGUCUGUAAGUUCCUAGUCCUUAAUUGAAGUAUUAUCUAUCCAACGGCCAUAGCUUCAUGUCACUCUGAGUCCAGAAAUUGGGAUCCGAACCUCAUGAGACAUUUCCCCCUUUCUCAUUUUACCACUUAGUUGCAUAUUUAACUACGAUGAGGGUCGAAGGAAUUGAGUCUCCCAAUCGGGGAGCAACGACGAUUCGAAUCGCUUAGCAAUCCAGCUGGAGUUCCUAACCACCCGACAUAUGUAGAACCAAAUCUUGCAUAUGUCAACCCAAAUCUAGCUCUCCCCAAAUUUGACCAGGUUCGCGGCACCCGAGAGCACAGUACCCCACCAUCCAGCCCAUUUGCCAGGAGGGUACAUGCUACUCUCGUCAUCGCUCCACGCCCAGUGCGCGAGUAGCUGUUCGCGUCGAGGGAUCACAAGACCGGGCUUACCGAGGGCAAGUGGCUAGUACUAUAAAUUUUCAACCCAGGAGGCCAUCAACGGAACGGUCCUUAAUCGACACAGUUGGAGACACUACUUUAAGACUCCAUUCUUAAAGCAAGUCCACCGACCGGUCUCAAGUUAAAACAUCAUUGACCAUAAGUGUAUCCCACAACAACCCUUCAAACUUUGUUUGAAAACCUAUCUAGUAGCAAGGCUAAGCAUCACUACGCAAUUUUAAAAUAAAACAGGUGCCAAGGACAAGAUAACAAAUAUCAAGGUAGAAAAUGCAGCAAGUAGGUUAACCCAGUUCUCAACUACCUAAUGCAGCAUUUUCAAUUCAUAAGUGAUAGAAGAUUUAAAACAUUCAAGGAUGGGUUAAUGCAUGCGAGGCUUGCCUUGGUUGCAGAGCUGAGAGGGUUCCUCGGAGACUUUCCAAGUCUCGGAUCCUACUUCUUCGAACGGAGCACCGACCUCGGGGUUCGGUUCAACGGUCGCUCCUUCGGUCACGUGCACUAUACGCAAAAUGAUGGAUGCUCAUGAUAUGCAUAUGACCAAUAUUUAAGAAGGACCGAGUUAAGUACAACUUUCCUUCUCGGUGCAAAACAAGCUAAACAGUAAUUAGAGUUGUUUAUCAUUUUAGUGUUUUUACCCAAGAGGUUGCAUCAGAAAAAUUAAUAUUUUUCCUAAUUCAUAAUCAUUCUUAAUUAACUAAUUAUUAACCCUUUUUAUCUAAAUUAAUUCUUAAUUAAGUAUUAGUGACAGUAAUUAAGUAUUAAUACCAAACAAUAAUUAAAUGCCAAAGGUCAUUAAGAUUAAUGACCUCAGGUCAUCACACAAUUCCAAAAUCACUCAAAUUCUAAUUUGGAAAUUAAGCUACUCAUUAUUUAAGUAAAGGCUAGCUAAAAACAAUCAACUCUAUUUGCACACAUAACCAGGACAGCAGCAUAUACACAACUUCAUUUCAACCAUAAUUAGAGAUCCAAGCAUCCAAUAAAGGUGAUAUUAGACUUUAUGGAAAGAUUAGAUAAUUUUCUACAACUUUGUUAUUAUCUUCCAGAACUGAUUUAAUAGAUAAGAUGGCCAAAUAGCAUGAAGAAACAAUCCUGUCCAGAUAUUGGACAGAGUCAGACAUUAAGCUUUAAACAUCUAUAAUCAGAGUUAUAGAUCACCAAAAGUCAUGAUUCAUAACAUUUUGGAAAGCUUAUGAAAAUUUCUACAAUUUAUCUUUCAUCAUCAAAGCAUGAUUCACAAGUUUAGUAGGUCGAAAUUGCACAACUACAAAAACUGAUCUAGGAUUUGACAGAUAGGAACUAUUUCUGAAACUUAAAUUUAAACAGGCAUAACUCAGAAACUAUAGGGUCAAAUACCACCAAAAUUUAACACCAGGUAGAUACAUGAAUUAUAUACAACUUUGUUAUAGACAAGUUUCACAUCCAACAUUAUCUACCUAGAGCAAUUCAUAAUGUUCCAAAAACUAUCGAGAAACCACUAACAAUUGAAUUACAGAGAAAUAACAUUUUUAUGUUCCAAACUUGAACCUGGGCAAAACCCAGCUCACCAAUAGUUGAAAUACAUCAAAGAGAUACUAGAAAACAUCAUGGCCAUCCCUAAAUAAAUACCUUUCAUGUCUUUAUUAAUUUAUUUAGAUAAAUAGACAAAGUAAUAACCAUAUAUCAAAACUACACAGUAAAUUCUGAGAAAACUACAGAAGCUCAUAUAUGCUCUCCAAAGUCUAUUGUAUAAAUUUCAUGCCAUUUGGAUAAGUAUAGCAAUUUCCAUGAAAAAGAUAAAUUUCCAUCACAAGGAAGCAUGUAACAACAAGAUAAAUAAGAAACUCGAUAUUUUCUACAAACACAUAGCUAAAUUAUGUAUCUAUAUGAUAUAACAACCUCAUAUAAAGGUACAGAAACCAUAUUUUAUAUUUAUUAAUUUUUAGUUUAAUUAUAGACAAUUUAAUAAGCACUAAACAAGAUAAAAUAAUAACUUAACCAUAUAUCAUCCACUAAACAUGAAAUUUUUACUGCAACACUCACAUAACAUCAUGAGAACACCAUAAAAAUUUCAGACCCAUAGGAGCUACACAGAAUGAGAUAUGAAUUUCUCCUUUUUAAACAUAAUUAAAAGACACAAAUCAUAACUAAUUAUUUUAUUACAAAACAUGGCCUGUUUCAUAUUUUUAAUAAAAACUAGAUAUCUCAAGGAGCACAACAAAAUUUGGUUCACCGAAAUUGGAGUUACCAAACUCUAGAUAUGAAUUUUCAAAGAUUCAACAAAACAUCUACAAACAAGUCCUUAUAGCACUAUUCACCUGAGUCACAGUCUGUGCAAUUAGACCCCUGGAGAACUUCAAAUUGUCGCGCGAAGUCCCUGGUCGCGAACUGGAAACAGGGGAACUCGCCGGAGAUCGUGGUUUCGGCCGUGCGGUGCUCGUCGGCGGCAAAGGAGAGGUGUUGGAGCUUGAAGACGCCAGGCCGCACCUUCGCGUGCCCUCAGUUUAACUGAAUAUGGCCCAUGGCCAUCUGGCCACGCGUGCCCGUGGUAAUGGCAGCAGCCAUGCCGGCAGCCGCUGCAGCAAGCAGUCCUCCAAUGGUGGUCACGAUUAAAGGAAGGGCUCGGGAGAUUCAGCGCGAGCUGGAGAAGGCAAAGGUGCAUCCGAUUUGGGCGGAGGUGAAUCGGACAGGGAAGCUCAC